rnacentral:piRNA from 1 species
UAACCAAAGAUGGUGUCUUUUCUGCCC